AAACAGUUAUUCUGACUCAGAGUUCUGAGAUAAUUGUUAUUAAUUUUGAAUGUUACAAGCUAUAGUAUACUGGAGAGAUAUAGACGCCAGAACUGUUUUAUGAUUAUGGGACAAAUGUAACGUCUGAUUAUAUGAAAGAAAGGAACAAUCAUUUAUUAUGUGCCAACUGUAUGCCCGGUAUUAUACUAAACACUACAAAUAUCAUAUCAUUGGAUCCCACAGCUACCCUGGGAGGAUGUGGCAAGAAAAGGCCCCUUUUAUAACUUGGAAUCCUCAGAAGAAUGGAAAAAACCCACCUUCAACAAAUUCAAUUCUGAGCCUUCAAGAACUUAGCAUAAAUGUCUCAGUGUUCAUAGUGAUGUUACUUGUCAUCAUGCAGAAGCAUUGCAAAGAGAGCUACUCCAGUGAAAAUGCAGAAGAUAUAAAGAUGUUCAGGAGCCCCAAAUAG
rnacentral:lncRNA from 1 species